rnacentral:rRNA from 1 species
AUUGAACGCUGGCGGUAUGCUUUAGACAUGCAAGUCGUACGGCAGCAUGAGAGAGCUUGCUCUCUUGAUGGCGAGUGGCGGACGGGUGAGUAAUACGUAGGGAUCUGCCCAGUAGCUGGGGAUAACUCGGAGAAAUCCGAGCUAAUACCGAAUACGCACUACGGUGGAAAGAGGGGGACCUUCGGGCCUCUCACUAUUGGAUGAACCUACGCCGGAUUAGCUAGUUGGUGGGGUAAUGGCCUACCAAGGCGACGAUCCGUAGCUGGUCUGAGAGGACGAUCAGCCACACUGGGACUGAGACACGGCCCAGACUCCUACGGGAGGCAGCAGUCGGGAAUAUUGGACAAUGGGGGCAACCCUGAUCCAGCAAUACCGCGUGUGUGAAGAAGGCCUGCGGGUUGUAAAGCACUUUCAAUAGGGAAGAAAAGCCUGGGGCUAAUAUCCUCGGGUCUUGACGUUACCUAUACAAGAAGCACCGGCUAACUCCG